AUACGGAGGGUGCAAGCGUUAAUCGGAAUUACUGGGCGUAAAGAGUACGUAGGUGGUUUAUUAAGUCAGAUGUGAAAGCCCCGGGCUCAACCUGGGAACUGCAUUUGAAACUGAUAAGCUAGAGUAUGGUAGAGGGGGGUAGAAUUUCUAGUGUAGCGGUGAAAUGCGUAGAUAUUAGAAGGAAUACCAGUGGCGAAGGCGGCCCCCUGGACCAAUACUGACACUGAGGUACGAAAGCGGGGGGAGCGAACAGGAUUAGAAACCCCAGUAGUCC
rnacentral:rRNA from 1 species